ensembl:snRNA U7 U7 small nuclear RNA
AAGUGUUACAGCUCUUUUAGAAUCUGUCUAGCAGGCUUUCCGGUUUUUGCUGGAAAGACCCCC